rnacentral:rRNA from 1 species
GAUCCUGGCUCAGGAUGAACGCUGGCGGCGUGCCUAAUACAUGCAAGUCGAACGCUUCACUUCGGUGAAGAGUGGCGAACGGGUGAGUAAUACAUAAGUAACCUGGCAUCUACAGGGGGAUAACUGAUGGAAACGUCAGCUAAGACCGCAUAGGUGUAGAGAUCGCAUGAACUCUAUAUGAAAAGUGCUACGGGACUGGUAGAUGAUGGACUUAUGGCGCAUUAGCUUGUUGGUAGGGUAACGGCCUACCAAGGCGACGAUGCGUAGCCGACCUGAGAGGGUGACCGGCCACACUGGGACUGAGACACGGCCCAGACUCCUACGGGAGGCAGCAGUAGGGAAUUUUCGGCAAUGGGGGAAACCCUGACCGAGCAACGCCGCGUGAAGGAAGAAGUAAUUCGUUAUGUAAACUUCUGUCAUAGAGGAAGAACGGUGGAUAUAGGGAAUGAUAUCCAAGUGACGGUACUCUAUAAGAAAGCCACGGCUAACUACGUGCCAGCAGCCGCGGUAAUACGUAGGUGGCGAGCGUUAUCCGGAAUUAUUGGGCGUAAAGAGGGAGCAGGCGGCACUAAGGGUCUGUGGUGAAAGAUCGAAGCUUAACUUCGGUAAGCCAUGGAAACCGUAGAGCUAGAGUGUGUGAGAGGAUCGUGGAAUUCCAUGUGUAGCGGUGAAAUGCGUAGAUAUAUGGAGGAACACCAGUGGCGAAGGCGACGAUCUGGCGCAUAACUGACGCUCAGUCCCGAAAGCGUGGGGAGCAAAUAGGAUUAGAUACCCUAGUAGUCCACGCCGUAAACG